CAGGUGUAUAUUUUCAUCUGUAUUGAGAGAAUAGAAGACCUCAUCUGCCAUAUUUACGUCCUGUUACAACCUGUGAAACAGAAAGAUGAUUGCUUCCAAAGACCAGACCACGAUGGAUUCCAGCAGAGCUGCCUCAUCCAGUCCUCCUGACACUAUUGAGGAACGAGUUCAGCAAACCCUCCUUCCCUCAACCUGCACUGAUAACUCUCCUCCUUCUACCCCUCCUCACCCGGUGUACGCCAGUCCCAGUGUCCACCCAGCGUCUCCAGCAGGCUCGGCUGAGGACUGCAGCAGCUUCCUUCUCCUGUGUGCUCUCAUCUUUGAGAUGUAGCCACAUUCAAGCCUGGCAUUCAGCAGAUUCGUAUUUUGGCUUGAUCUAGACUUGACUGCAUUUGCUCUUGAGUGUUGCAUUCCUUCUGUCAGAAGUAACAAAAGAUCAACAGUAUUGUUAAACUUGUAAAGAACCGAAGCAUUUAACAUAUUACUCUGAGCCUUUUUAAGAGAUGAUCGAAAUACGAACUGCAAAAUUUUAAAUAAAUGAAUAAAUAUAUUCCAGAAA